ACCGCAUGGUACAGUGGUAAAAACUCCGGUGGUAUGAGAUGGACCCGCGUCUGAUUAGGUAGUUGGUGGGGUAACGGCCUACCAAGCCGACGAUCAGUAGCCGACCUGAGAGGGUGACCGGCCACAUUGGGACUGAGACACGGCCCAGACUCCUACGGGAGGCAGCAGUGGGGAAUAUUGCACAAUGGAGGAAACUCUGAUGCAGCGACGCCGCGUGAAGGAUGAAGUAUUUCGGUAUGUAAACUUCUAUCAGCAGGGAAGAAAAUGACGGUACCUGACUAAGAAGCCCCGGCUAACUACGUGCCAGCAGCCGCGGUAAUACGUAGGGGGCAAGCGUUAUCCGGAUUUACUGGGCGUAAAGGGAGCGUAGACGGCACGGCAAGCCAGAUGUGAAAGCCCGGGGCUCAACCCCGGGACUGCAUUUGGAACCGCUGAGCUAGAGUGUCGGAGAGGCAAGUGGAAUUCCUAGUGUAGCGGUGAAAUGCGUAGAUAUUAGGAGGAACACCAGUGGCGAAGGCGGCUUGCUGGACGAUGACUGACGUUGAGGCUCGAAAGCGUGGGGAGCAAACAAGAUUAGAUACCCUGGUAGUCCACGCCGUA
rnacentral:rRNA from 1 species